rnacentral:rRNA from 5 species
AAAUUGAAGAGUUUGAUCAUGGCUCAGAUUGAACGCUGGCGGCAGGCCUAACACAUGCAAGUCGAACGGUAACAGGAAUCAGCUUGCUGAUUCGCUGACGAGUGGCGGACGGGUGAGUAAUGUCUGGGAAACUGCCUGAUGGAGGGGGAUAACUACUGGAAACGGUAGCUAAUACCGCAUAACGUCGCAAGACCAAAGAGGGGGACCUUCGGGCCUCUUGCCAUCGGAUGUGCCCAGAUGGGAUUAGCUAGUAGGUGGGGUAACGGCUCACCUAGGCGACGAUCCCUAGCUGGUCUGAGAGGAUGACCAGCCACACUGGAACUGAGACACGGUCCAGACUCCUACGGGAGGCAGCAGUGGGGAAUAUUGCACAAUGGGCGCAAGCCUGAUGCAGCCAUGCCGCGUGUAUGAAGAAGGCCUUCGGGUUGUAAAGUACUUUCAGCGGGGAGGAAGGGAGUAAAGUUAAUACCUUUGCUCAUUGACGUUACCCGCAGAAGAAGCACCGGCUAACUCCGUGCCAGCAGCCGCGGUAAUACGGAGGGUGCAAGCGUUAAUCGGAAUUACUGGGCGUAAAGCGCACGCAGGCGGUUUGUUAAGUCAGAUGUGAAAUCCCCGGGCUCAACCUGGGAACUGCAUCUGAUACUGGCAAGCUUGAGUCUCGUAGAGGGGGGUAGAAUUCCAGGUGUAGCGGUGAAAUGCGUAGAGAUCUGGAGGAAUACCGGUGGCGAAGGCGGCCCCCUGGACGAAGACUGACGCUCAGGUGCGAAAGCGUGGGGAGCAAACAGGAUUAGAUACCCUGGUAGUCCACGCCGUAAACGAUGUCGACUUGGAGGUUGUGCCCUUGAGGCGUGGCUUCCGGAGCUAACGCGUUAAGUCGACCGCCUGGGGAGUACGGCCGCAAGGUUAAAACUCAAAUGAAUUGACGGGGGCCCGCACAAGCGGUGGAGCAUGUGGUUUAAUUCGAUGCAACGCGAAGAACCUUACCUGGUCUUGACAUCCACGGAAGUUUUCAGAGAUGAGAAUGUGCCUUCGGGAACCGUGAGACAGGUGCUGCAUGGCUGUCGUCAGCUCGUGUUGUGAAAUGUUGGGUUAAGUCCCGCAACGAGCGCAACCCUUAUCCUUUGUUGCCAGCGGUCCGGCCGGGAACUCAAAGGAGACUGCCAGUGAUAAACUGGAGGAAGGUGGGGAUGACGUCAAGUCAUCAUGGCCCUUACGACCAGGGCUACACACGUGCUACAAUGGCGCAUACAAAGAGAAGCGACCUCGCGAGAGCAAGCGGACCUCAUAAAGUGCGUCGUAGUCCGGAUUGGAGUCUGCAACUCGACUCCAUGAAGUCGGAAUCGCUAGUAAUCGUGGAUCAGAAUGCCACGGUGAAUACGUUCCCGGGCCUUGUACACACCGCCCGUCACACCAUGGGAGUGGGUUGCAAAAGAAGUAGGUAGCUUAACCUUCGGGAGGGCGCUUACCACUUUGUGAUUCAUGACUGGGGUGAAGUCGUAACAAGGUAACCGUAGGGGAACCUGCGGUUGGAUCACCUCCUUACCUUAAAGAAGC